UUGAAAUAUAUAUACCUCUAAAG
rnacentral:piRNA from 1 species